rnacentral:lncRNA from 1 species
UAGCGAUAAUAAUAGAAUAGAAUAAAAAAAAAUAAUAAUAAUAAAAUGAAGAGUUCAUAAUCAUCAUCGUUACAAUAAUAAUAAUAAUAAUAAUAGAAAUAACAAUGUGAAGUACGCAACAUUAGUCAAUUACAAUCCCGACAAAUUAUAAAAAUCGCAAUGAAAGUCAGAUCGAUGUGUAUGCGUGUGUGUGUGUGUACCCCUUUAUAAAAAAAAUAAAAAAUAAAAAAAAAACAGAAAAAUAAACGUGAAACAGAAGAAGAUUGAUUUUCAUCGAUUGGCAGGUAUAUCGCGAGUGUAAAACAUUGUUAAUACUCGAAUUUGUUGCAGCCUCGAAAUACUAAGCAUGAUCGCAAUAUCUCUCUCUCUCUCUCUCUUUCUUUCUGUGUCUUCCUUUUCCAUACCGUUUUCCAUGCCCCAGAUUCUUUCUGCACACAAUUUUAUUACGACACGUAACGCUACGAUACGACAAUUUAUAAAUAGCAAUUAUUCAGCAAUGAGAGAUCGCGGCUACGGAUCCUUCGUCCCUGCGGACAAACACGGCGGAAACGUAAUCGCGUUGGCGGGCUGAACACGUAAAGAACGCAACUAACAGGAAGGGGUAUAGUAUCGGUUUUGAAAUCAUGGUGACAUAUCGUCGAACGAUCGGUGGAAUAGAGAGACCGAGCCGUACGAAGAGAUAAUUGUACGAAUAAAUUGUUCGUUUGACGCUCGGAUCGAUGAACGAUCUGACAAUCACGGUUGCAAGCACGCUUAGGAUCGACGAUGUCGACGAUGUCUUUUUCGCUACGAUUCCGUGAACCGUGUCUACAACGAUAAUACACGCGUAAUGCAAUUAAUAAAGGUAAUGAUGGAAAGGUGAAAGAUCGUACGAGUCGUUUGCUAAACGUUCGAAUAAAUAUAUUACGAUAAAAUGUAUUUUUUUAAAAAUAUAUUCUUUUCUUUUAAUCUUAUUGUGAUAUACGGAUAUAUAUUGUAUUGCGUAAUAUAGAGAUAUAUCACAAUAAAGUUAAAAAGAUAAUGUUUUAAAAAAUGAAUAAUAAAUAUAUAACAAGAUAUUUCAAAAUUAUCGAACUGUUAUCGUUCGCGCGAGACACGCUUGAGAAAAUAUAAUUUGUUAAUUAUGAGAUAACUGUGAUGCGAGCGAAAUUGUGCUUGGAAAUCCAUUUCAUGGUAGAUUUCUCAAGCGAGACGCGAUGAUACGUUGAUAUAAACGUCUCUACACGAGACUGAUAACUUAUAAAAAUAAUUAAAAUUAUUUUGUUAUGUUCAUUGCACUAUUUGCAUUUCUAUUAAAUAGAAAGGACAACGUAUAAUUACCUUCGUGGCGAGAUAAAAUUAACUCGUAUAAUUGAGAAAUUAAAAGAAGAAAAUAUAGAGUAACAAAUAAAUACGUUCGAAUUAUACCGCGCAUGUGCGCGCAUGUACGUACGUUUCUAGACGCAACGCGCAUGCCCGGCGCAUAUCGUAUGCGCGAUCGAAAGGCGCUGGACACGCGCGCGUAAAUUUCCUUAUUAAGGUUACAAAUUAACAUUUUUGCCCGUUAAUCAUAAAGAAAUUGCAAGCAACGUAACUUCUCAUUAAAGUUGCCGUGGCCAGACGUUAAUUACGGUUCCGCGAUAGUUUUUUCUCUUCUCUUUUCGAAACGUUACGCUCGACGCGGUGCCGGAAGCUAGUUGAUUUCCGUGGUUGUGUGAUGUGCGCGAGUGUAGUGAAGGCGUUGGACGGAACGCGGGAAUAAUCACCAUCAACCGGCCAUCAAGGAAGUGUCCGUUGUUUUGUUUAGAAAAAAAAAAGAAAAAAAUCAAACCAUGGAAUGAAAUUACGAAUCGUUACAUGCCAGCUAUAAUAUCCACGGACGAUUUGUGAUCGACGAAGGAUGGCAGUUUCGAUCGAAGCAUGGUUCCUCGUGAUAUGGCGUCCGAACUCGUUGGUCGCUGUUCCCACUCCAGAAAGAGAACCCUCUGCCCGGAAUUGGUCUCCUGUUCCAUCGAUUAAUCAGGCCAGAUAAAGGUCCGUUGGCGUGGAAGUAUGAUCCGGCUUGGUGCAUGCACUUCCGGUUGGCGAAGCGGCACUCGCACCGCUGCUCGCUCUGGUAGCAGCCAAAGGCGAGCGACUGGCCACGUCCGUGCUGUUCUCUGGUCCUGUGUUAUUACAUCCGCCGCCCUGCUGCGAAUUGGUGUGGGAAGACGCCAGCGUGUCCCCGUUGCAGUAGUAAUACGUGGAGUCUGCAAAGGAAACGUUUCUCAGAGGAGGGACAAAAGUAAUUUACGAGCAUCGAGGAAAAAUCCUAGCGAACAUCCACGAGUUUUGUUUCGUAUAAAUAAAUAGGAAAGGUUGUUCGCAAUCCGUUCCAGAAAACAGAACCUGUUGCGACAUGCAAAAUGAGAUAACGAUCGAAACUUCUCAAAGUUCGUCAUGGUCUUGCGAUUUUGUAGGAGGAAUCGAUUAAUAACGGAUCGCGAUGUGCUAUGGUGUAUCCAUCCUCCUGAAUAAAAAAAAAAAUAUCCUUAUCCUAAGAGUGCGAAGUUUUCGCAUUCUUCUUCACAGAUUACAACAAAUAAACCUGUUCCUAGAUCUGGUUACUACAACAAAUAAAUAAAUCAAACCUG